GAGUAGCUCAGUUGGUUGGAGGGUGGCACUGAUAACGCCAAGGUUGCAGGUUCGAUCCCUGCAAGAGACA
rnacentral:tRNA from 1 species